CACCGGGCUGUGAGAAGGGGAUGCAGGAACCCACCUCGGGGCGGGGUGGGGGGGAUAAGGAGGUUAGAGCAAGGCCUAGGGCUUGUGAUGAGGGGGGAGGAGGGGGAAGUGUGAUAGAAAAGUCAAGAAAGGGGGGGAGCAGCCGGGAAAGGUGAGAGACAGAGAAGCCCUGGAGCAAAACCUUUGUCCCGCAGUGGAUGGAUUCUAGAAAACCCGGGACCAGUUGGGGUGGAGAACUACGGCUGGAGAGUCAACUCUUGGAACUGAUUGGGGUUGAACCAACAGAUCCCCCAGGUUGAACCCCUCCGCCCGGCUGAAUUUAGCAGCAGAAGAGAUAACUGGGAGAUAAGGGCUGAUACCCGGCAGGACAGCAGGAGAGCGGCCGAGGGAAGGGGGAGAAGCUGGAGGCCGAGUCCUGCAGUGCUUCAGGAGCUGCAGCCGCCUGCCCAGAUGCGCCUGGUUCGGAUUCCCGUCUCUCCUUCUCCUUGCAAGAUCCCCCGGAUUUCCCCUACCAGAGAAGCCCUGUGUUGAAUUCCUAGAGCACAUCGCCUCUUCCUUUUCUUUUACUUUUACGAAAGAGAAGAAUUUCGAUGGAAAACGGUAACAGCACCGCCAGGAGCUGAGAUCUCAACGAGCGCCUUUAGUUUUGCCUUUCCAAAUGACAACGAAACAGCCCCACAAAAAGCAGAACCCGGACCCACGUCCCUGUGCGGGCAAAGCCCCGCAGAGCCGAGCAUCGAAAACGGGGACGAGAAGCGGGGGUUGAGGGGGGGGGAGAGGGAAACAGCUCUCGUCGUACCCCCCAAAAGUUGAUAUAUCUGAAUCAUUAUAAUUAAAAUCGAAAGCUGAAGUUGGGGAUGUGGCGGAGAGCGGGGAAAAUCAAACGAUCAAUUCACGAGGAAAUCAAUAAAUGAAGAAGUCAGUCUCGGAUUGAAUCGCUGCGAUUGCGGGGCGAAACGAAAUCACGGAGCCGCAAACGAAAAACGGGGCCGGACGGCGAUUCGGGCAACGAACCGCGUCCUUCCCACGCCGCUCCUCACCCGGGGGCGGUCGGUGGCCGCUCCGGGGCCGUUUUCUCCCGCAUGGGAACGGGGGAUGCGAACAGCGAGAGGGAUCGGGGCUGCGGACGGAGAGCGAACUCAUUUCCAAGCUGCUUCACGGGACCGCGCUGAGAAUUGUUUCAAAAUCGCUCACACGCACACAAAUAAAAAUGUUUAGAGAGGAAACGAA